rnacentral:rRNA from 1 species
UACGGAAGGCAGCAGUGGGGAAUAUUGCACAAUGGGCGCAAGCCUGAUGCAGCCAUGCCGCGUGUAUGAAAAAGGCCUUCGGGUUGUAAAGUACUUUCAGUCGUGAGGAAGGUGUUAAGGUUAAUAACCUUAGCAAUUGACGUUAGCGACAGAAGAAGCACCGGCUAACUCCGUGCCAGCAGCCGCGGUAAUACGGAGGGUGCGAGCGUUAAUCGGAAUUACUGGGCGUAAAGGGCACGCAGGCGGUUAAUUAAGUUGGAUGUGAAAUCCCCGGGCUUAACCUGGGAAUGGCAUUCAAGACUGGUUAGCUAGAGUCUUGUAGAGGGGGUAGAAUUCCAUGUGUAGCGGUGAAAUGCGUAGAGAUGUGGAGGAAUCCGGUGGCGAAGGCGGCCCCUGGACAAAGGACUGACGCUCAUGUGCGAAAGCGUGGGGAGCAAACAGGGAUUAGAUACC